rnacentral:lncRNA from 1 species
AAAAGGCAGCUGAGGUCACUAAACCACGUGGCCCAUGGGAAACAAAGGGCUCCUCACCUGCUAAGGUGUUCGCAGCCAAGAGUAAAUUUGUCACAAACGGAACAAGAAAAUAAAGACAUCCAACAGAUCCCAGAUCAGCCAAAAUGGAAGAUGCAUCCAUUAAAUAUGCAUGAUUUUGUAACUUCACGGCCCAGAACUUACAUUGGAAAUCAAGUGACAACUUAACAGUACAAAAUAAAUAUUUUGUAAGUUCAAAAAUUCUUACAAUAGUACACAAAAAUGCCAUUAAAAUUAAACAUUAAAAUUUAUUACAAGUACCAUGAAUUGCACAAGCCC